rnacentral:rRNA from 1 species
GCGGACGGGUGAGUAACACGUGGAUAACCUACCUAUAAGACUGGGAUAACUUCGGGAAACCGGAGCUAAUACCGGAUAAUAUUUUGAACCGCAUGGUUCAAAAGUGAAAGACGGUCUUGCUGUCACUUAUAGAUGGAUCCGCGCUGCAUUAGCUAGUUGGUAAGGUAACGGCUUACCAAGGCAACGAUGCAUAGCCGACCUGAGAGGGUGAUCGGCCACACUGGAACUGAGACACGGUCCAGACUCCUACGGGAGGCAGCAGUAGGGAAUCUUCCGCAAUGGGCGAAAGCCUGACGGAGCAACGCCGCGUGAGUGAUGAAGGUCUUCGGAUCGUAAAACUCUGUUAUUAGGGAAGAACAUAUGUGUAAGUAACUGUGCACAUCUUGACGGUACCUAAUCAGAAAGCCACGGCUAACUACGUGCCAGCAGCCGCGGUAAUACGUAGGUGGCAAGCGUUAUCCGGAAUUAUUGGGCGUAAAGCGCGCGUAGGCGGUUUUUUAAGUCUGAUGUGAAAGCCCACGGCUCAACCGUGGAGGGUCAUUGGAAACUGGAAAACUUGAGUGCAGAAGAGGAAAGUGGAAUUCCAUGUGUAGCGGUGAAAUGCGCAGAGAUAUGGAGGAACACCAGUGGCGAAGGCGACUUUCUGGUCUGUAACUGACGCUGAUGUGCGAAAGCGUGGGGAUCAAACAGGAUUAGAUACCCUGGUAGUCCACGCCGUAAACGAUGAGUGCUAAGUGUUAGGGGGUUUCCGCCCCUUAGUGCUGCAGCUAACGCAUUAAGCACUCCGCCUGGGGAGUACGACCGCAAGGUUGAAACUCAAAGGAAUUGACGGGGACCCGCACAAGCGGUGGAGCAUGUGGUUUAAUUCGAAGCAACGCGAAGAACCUUACCAAAUCUUGACAUCCUUUGACAACUCUAGAGAUAGAGCUUUCCCCUUCGGGGGACAAAGUGACAGGUGGUGCAUGGUUGUCGUCAGCUCGUGUCGUGAGAUGUUGGGUUAAGUCCCGCAACGAGCGCAACCCUUAAGCUUAGUUGCCAUCAUUAAGUUGG